UGGGGAAUAUUGCACAAUGGGCGCAAGCCUGAUGCAGCCAUGCCGCGUGUAUGAAGAAGGCCUUCGGGUUGUAAAGUACUUUCAGCGAGGAGGAAGGCGUUGUGGUUAAUAACCGCAACGAUUGACGUUACUCGCAGAAGAAGCACCGGCUAACUCCGUGCCAGCAGCCGCGGUAAUACGGAGGGUGCAAGCGUUAAUCGGAAUUACUGGGCGUAAAGCGCACGCAGGCGGUUUGUCAAGUCGGAUGUGAAAUCCCCGGGCUCAACCUGGGAACUGCAUCCGAAACUGGCAGGCUAGAGUCUUGUAGAGGGAGGUAGAAUUCCAGGUGUAGCGGUGAAAUGCGUAGAGAUCUGGAGGAAUACCGGUGGCGAAGGCGGCCCCCUGGACAAAGACUGACGCUCAGGUGCGAAAGCGUGGGGAGCAAACA
rnacentral:rRNA from 1 species